UACGGGGGGGGCAAGCGUUGUUCGGAAUUACUGGGCGUAAAGGGCUCGUAGGUGGCCAACUAAGUCAGACGUGAAAUCCCUCGGCUUAACCGGGGAACUGCGUCUGAUACUGGAUGGCUUGAGGUUGGGAGAGGGAUGCGGAAUUCCAGGUGUAGCGGUGAAAUGCGUAGAUAUCUGGAGGAACACCGGUGGCGAAGGCGGCUCUCUGGACCUGUUCUGACGCUGAGGAGCGAAAGCGUGGGGAGCGAACAGG
rnacentral:rRNA from 1 species